UACGAAGGGGGCUAGCGUUGCUCGGAAUCACUGGGCGUAAAGCGCACGUAGGCGGACUCUUAAGUCGGUGGUGAAAUCCUGGAGCUCAACUCCAGAACUGCCUUCGAUACUGGGAGUCUCGAGUUCGGGAGAGGUGAGUGGAACUGCGAGUGUAGAGGUGAAAUUCGUAGAUAUUCGCAAGAACACCAGUGGCGAAGGCGGCGUCCUGGCCCAUUUCUGACGUUCAGACAUGACAGCAUGGGGAGCGAACGGGG
rnacentral:rRNA from 1 species